UGGGGAAUAUUGCACAAUGGGCGCAAGCCUGAUGCAGCCAUGCCGCGUGUAUGAAGAAGGUCUUCGGAUUGUAAAGCACUUUAAGUUGGGAGGAAGGGCAUUAACCUAAUACGUUAGUGUUUUGACGUUACCGACAGAAUAAGCACCGGCUAACUCUGUGCCAGCAGCCGCGGUAAUACAGAGGGUGCAAGCGUUAAUCGGAAUUACUGGGCGUAAAGCGCGCGUAGGUGGUCUGUUAAGUUGGAUGUGAAAUCCCCGGGCUCAACCUGGGAACUGCAUUCAAAACUGACUGACUAGAGUAUGGUAGAGGGUGGUGGAAUUUCCUGUGUAGCGGUGAAAUGCGUAGAUAUAGGAAGGAACACCAGUGGCGAAGGCGACCACCUGGACUAAUACUGACACUGAGGUGCGAAAGCGUGGGGAGCAAACA
rnacentral:rRNA from 1 species